rnacentral:sRNA from 11 species
AUAUGUCACUCGUACACUCCGCUUCUGAGCGCGCCGUCCGCGCCCACCUGACGGCUGCUCGCUACGUUUUGUCAGCC